rnacentral:rRNA from 1 species
GACGAACGCUGGCGGCGUGCUUAACACAUGCAAGUCGAACGGAAAGGCCCUGCUUUUGUGGGGUGCUCGAGUGGCGAACGGGUGAGUAACACGUGAGUAACCUGCCCUUGACUUUGGGAUAACUUCAGGAAACUGGGGCUAAUACCGGAUAGGAGCUCCUGCUGCAUGGUGGGGGUUGGAAAGUUUCGGCGGUUGGGGAUGGACUCGCGGCUUAUCAGCUUGUUGGUGGGGUAGUGGCUUACCAAGGCUUUGACGGGUAGCCGGCCUGAGAGGGUGACCGGCGACAUUGGGACUGAGAUACGGCGCAGACUCCAACGGGAGGCAGCAGUGGGGAAUAUUACACAGUGGGCGGGAGCCUGAGGCAGCAGCGCCGCGUGCGGGAUGACGGCCUUCGGGUUGUAAACCGCUUUCGCCUGUGACGAAGCGUGAGUGACGGUAAUGGGUAAAGAAGCACCGGCUAACUACGUG